rnacentral:rRNA from 1 species
UACGGAGGAUGCGAGCGUUAUCCGGAUUUAUUGGUUUUAAAGGGUGCGUAGGCGGCCGAGUAAGUCAGCGGUGAAAUUUUGCAGCUUAACUGUAACAGUGCCGUUGAUACUGCAUGGCUAGGAUUUGGUUGCUGUGGGUGGAAUGUGUGGUGUAGCGGUGAAAUGCUUAGAUAUCACACAGAAUAUCGAUUGCGAAGGCAGCUCACAAAGCCAAGAUUGACGCUGAGGCACGAAAGUGUGGGGAGUCAAACA